GUAAAAGUUAACAAUAUCCAAGUAAAUUAUAGCUACAAAACGAAAAAGCACAACAGUAAUAAAGUAAUCACUCCAGCGGAAUAUUUUUAGUGAGAUGAAUUAUAAAUCAUUUCCUUAUAUAUUAUUUCCUUAUAAUCAUUUCCUCCUAUAGAGACGCUGGUAGAUAUGCCACCAUAUUGAACAUUUUUAUUGCCAUUGGUUGCAUGUGUUUGUGUAUUUCUGGCGUUCUUUAUGGACUACGAGUCAUGAAUGAACUGGACGAUGAAACAGAAAAGACAUGUUUGGUAAAUAUUUGAAAUUACUACAAAAAUACAAUAUUAUAAACCGUUAGCUGAAGUCUUACUGUGCCAAAUGAUGGCUGAACACCCUGGGGUAACUUUAAACUGGGGUAACUUUUUGUUCAACUUUAAAACAUGCCACACAAACCAAUAACCGUCUAUCGUUUGGUGUUGGGACAUAUGAAUUGUGUGUUACGUGAGUGCGAUAUGUAACAUACAAGAGAAUGUGUAUCCUAUAAGGUGAUAUGUUGUGCUACGAAGAUCCUCUGCCGAACAACAGCCGAGUUAUAACAACUGGGAUUGUUACUUUUGUGACUUUUUUUCAUAGAGUCAACUAGGAUUGACAUCUAUUGGAUUGACUUUGGUACUUGGUGCUAUCAUCUCGAAAUUACUUGGAAUCCUUGUGAUGCGCGACAAACAAAAAACUAUG